AUUAUUAAUUUAUUAUUUAGUUUUUAUUUUUUUAUUUUUAAUAAAAGUAAUUUUAAUAUUUUAUUUUUUAGUAUAUUUUAUAGAAAAAUAUUUUUUAAUUAUAGUUUAUUAGUAUUGUAAAAGAUUAUUGAAAUAUUAUUUAAUUUUAUUAAAAGUAAAAUUUUUUUUUGUACCUUGUGUAUCAGGGUUUAUUAAAUAAUUAUUAAUUAUUUUAAUUUUCUCGAUUUUAAGAGGGUUAAUAAAUUAUUUUUUUUAUUGUUAAAAAAAUAUUUAUAAUAAUUUAUUAGUAAUGAAAUAUUAUUCGUUCUUAAAUAUAUCUAGUUUAUUAAGAAAUGAAUUUAAUUCAUAUAUUAUUAUUUUAGUAAUUUAAUUUUUUAAAUUGUUGAAUUUUAAUAUAAAUAAUUAAGGGGAUUAGCUUUUAAUUAAAAUUUUAUAAAUUAAUUAAUAUUUUUAAAAAAUGUAGGAUUAGAAAUAAUCAUCAAUAAUAAUUUGUUAUAAUUAAUUUAAUUAAAAAUAUUAUUUUAUAUAAUUUUAAAUUUUUUAUUAAUAAGUAAUUUAUAAUUUAAUAAAAUUAGUUAUAAUGAUAGAAUUAGUAUAUAUUUUAAUUAUUUAGAUAAAAUUUUAAGAUAGAUUAUUUAAAGGAAUUCGGCAAAUAUUUUACUCGCCUGUUUAACAAAAACAUGUCUUUUUGUGUAUUUAUUUAAAGUCUAACCUGCCCAAUGAAAAAUUUUAAAUGGCCGCAGUAAUUUGACUGUGCAAAGGUAGCAUAAUCAUUAGUUUUUUAAUUAAAAGCUUGUAUGAAGGGUUGGACGAAGUAAUAUCUGUCUCUAUUUAAUUAAAUUUAGAAUUUAAUUUUUAAGUUAAAAAGCUUAAAUUUUUAUAAAAGACGAGAAGACCCUAUAGAGCUUUAUAUUUUAUUUAUUUUUGUAUAUUUAGAUUUUUUAAAAUUUUAGUAUAUAAAUUAUUAUAUUGGGGUAAUAGAAAGAUAUAAAAAAUUCUUUUUUAUAUUUUAACAUUUAUUUAUGAAUAAUUGAUCCAUUUUUAUUGAUUAUAAGAUUAAGUUACCUUAGGGAUAACAGCGUAAUUUUUUUAAAGAGUUCUUAUCGAUAAAAAAGUUUGCGACCUCGAUGUUGGAUUAAAGAUUAGUUUAGGUGUAGAAGUUUAAAUUUUUGGUCUGUUCGACCAUUAAAUCUUUACAUGAUCUGAGUUCAGACCGGCGUAAGCCAGGUCGGUUUCUAUCUUUAUAAAAUAUAAAUAUUUUAGUACGAAAGGACCAAAUAUUUAAUAUAUUUAUAUUUAUUAUUUUGAAUAUUAGU
rnacentral:rRNA from 1 species